CGACUGUUUCAAAAACAUAGCUUCUAGAAAUAAUUAGAAGUAAAAUCCUGCCCAGUGAGAGAAAUCUUAAACGGCCACAUAGUGCUAAGGUAGCGUAAUAAAUUGUCCUUUCAUUGAGGACUAGUAUGAAUGGAAAAACGACGCUCAACUGUCUCUGUUAAUAAAAUAGAAAUUAGUUUUCAGGUGAAAACACCUGAAUAAAGUAAAAGGACGAUAAGACCCUAUAGAGUUUAAACAUAACACGCAAACCUAUAAAAAAUAGGAGCACAAAUGUUUUAAUUGGGGCAACAUAGGAACAAAAAAUCUCCUAUAAGAAAAAUUUAAGAUAUUAAAAAUAAAAAUCCUCAAAGAGAUAAAGAAAAACUACCUUAGGGAUAACAGCGUAAUUUUUCUAAAGAGACCUAAUCGAAAGAAAAGUUUGCGACCUCGAUGUUGGACUAAGGCAUCAAAAUGGUGAAGAAACUAUUAAAGCAGGCCUGUUCGGCCUAUAAAACCUUACAUGAUUUGAGUUUCAUUCCGUAA
rnacentral:rRNA from 1 species